AUGCAGUCGAACGGUGAAAGCGGAGCUUGCUCCGCCGGAUCAGUGGCGAACGGGUGAGUAACACGUGAGCAAUCUGCCCCAGACUCUGGGAUAAGCGCUGGAAACGGCGUCUAAUACCGGAUACGAGCUACGAAGGCAUCUUCAGUAGCUGGAAAGAACUUCGGUCUGGGAUGAGCUCGCGGCCUAUCAGCUUGUUGGUGAGGUAACGGCUCACCAAGGCGUCGACGGGUAGCCGGCCUGAGAGGGUGACCGGCCACACUGGGACUGAGACACGGCCCAGACUCCUACGGGAGGCAGCAGUGGGGAAUAUUGCACAAUGGGCGCAAGCCUGAUGCAGCAACGCCGCGUGAGGGACGACGGCCUUCGGGUUGUAAACCUCUUUUAGCAGGGAAGAAGCCUUCGGGUGACGGUACCUGCAGAAAAAGCACCGGCUAACUACGUGCCAGCAGCCGCGGUAAUACGUAGGGUGCAAGCGUUAUCCGGAAUUAUUGGGCGUAAAGAGCUCGUAGGCGGUCUGUCGCGUCUGCUGUGAAACCCCGAGGCUCAACCUCGGGCCUGCAGUGGGUACGGGCAGACUAGAGUGCGGUAGGGGAGAUUGGAAUUCCUGGUGUAGCGGUGGAAUGCGCAGAUAUCAGGAGGAACACCGAUGGCGAAGGCAGAUCUCUGGGCCGUAACUGACGCUGAGGAGCGAAAGGGUGGGGAGCAAACAGGCUUAGAUACCCUGAUAGUCCACCCCGUAAAACGUUGGGAACUAGUUGUGGGGGUCCAUUCCACCGGAUUCUCGUGACGCAGCUAACGCAUUAAGUUCCCCGCCUGGGGAAGUUACGGGCGCAAGGUUAAAACUCACAGGAA
rnacentral:rRNA from 1 species